rnacentral:rRNA from 1 species
AGAAUCCUUCGGGAGGAAGACCAUUGUGACUGAGUGGCGGACGGGUGAGUAACGCGUGGGUAACCUGCCUUGUACAGGGGGAUAACAGUUGGAAACGACUGCUAAUACCGCAUAAGCGCACAGCUUCGCAUGAAGCAGUGUGAAAAACUCCGGUGGUACAAGAUGGACCCGCGUCUGAUUAGCUAGUUGGUGAGGUAACGGCCCACCAAGGCGACGAUCAGUAGCCGGCCUGAGAGGGUGAACGGCCACAUUGGAACUGAGACACGGUCCAAACUCC